UACAGAGGUCCCAAGCGUUGUUCGGAUUCACUGGGCGUAAAGGGUGCGUAGGUGGUCGGGUAAGUCUGAUGUGAAAGCUCGCGGCUCAACUGCGAAAUGGCAUCGGAAACUAUCCGGCUAGAGGGAUGGAGGGGGGACUGGAAUUCUCGGUGUAGCAGUGAAAUGCGUAGAUAUCGAGAGGAACACCGGUGGCGAAGGCGAGUCCUUAGACAUCUCCUGACGCUGAGGCACGAAAGCUAGGGGAGCAAACAGG
rnacentral:rRNA from 1 species